GGAGCAUGCGGCUUAAUUCGACGCAACGCGAAGAACCUUACCAAGGCUUGACAUAUACAGGAAUAUGGCAGAAAUGUCAUAGCCGCAAGGUCUGUAUACAGGUGGUGCAUGGUUGUCGUCAGCUCGUGUCGUGAGAUGUUGGGUUAAGUCCCGCAACGAGCGCAACCCUCGUUCUGUGUUGCCAGCAUUUAGUUGGGGACUCACAGGAGACUGCCGGGGUUAACUCGGAGGAAGGUGGGGAUGACGUCAAAUCAUCAUGCCCCUUAUGUCUUGGGCUGCACGCAUGCUACAAUGGCUGGUACAAACGGCUGCGAUACCGCAAGGUGGAGCGAAUCCGAUAAAGCCAGUCUCAGUUCGGAUUGGGGUCUGCAACUCGACCCCAUGAAGUCGGAGUUGCUAGUAAUCGUAGAUCAGCAACGCUACGGUGAAUACGUUCCCGGGGCUUGUACACACCGCCCGUCACGUCACGAAAGUCGGUAACACCCGUAAGUCAGUGGCCCAACCGUAAGGGGGGA
rnacentral:rRNA from 1 species